rnacentral:rRNA from 1 species
GACGAACGCUGGCGGCGUGCUUAACACAUGCAAGUCGAACGAUGAAGCCGGAGCUUGCUCUGGUGAAUUAGUGGCGAACGGGUGAGUAACACGUGAGUAACCUGCCCUUGACUCUGGGAUAACUGCUAGAAAUGGUAGCUAAUACCGGAUACGACCCUCGGAGGCAUCUCCAGGGGGUGGAAAGAAUUUCGGUCAAGGAUGGACUCGCUGCCUAUCAGCUAGUUGGUGAGGUAACGGCUCACCAAGGCGACGACCGGUAGCCGGCCUGAGAGGGUGACCGGCCCCACUUGGACUGUGACACGGCCCAGACUCCUGCGGGAGGCAGCAGUGGGGAAUAUUUCACAAUGGGCGCAAGCCUGAUGCAGCAACGCCGCGUGAGGGAUGACGGCCUUCGGGUUGUAAACCUCUUUUAGUAGGGAAGAAGCGAAGGAGACGGUACCUGCAGAAAAAGCACCGGCUAACUACGUGCCAGCCGCCGCAGUAA